AUAUAACGAGAAAGAGUGCAAUGUUUAUAAGUACAAGGUUUUGAAGAUUGAGAAAGUGAAUCAUCGUUUGUCAAUGUACUAUACAUAUUGGAUGACUGUCAAUGUAAUAAAUCUCACUCUUGGUACUCCUAUAGGAACUUUUCAAAUCCAUGCUGCUAUGAGUUACGUCAAUGAUGAUGAAGUUAUCUAUUGUUGCCGGCCUAAAGAGGAGGCCAUUGUUGGUUUGCCAAGCUGCGAGUUUUGUUCUGGCUUGCUGCCAGAGAGGCGUGUCACUGGAGGAAAGGAACCAUAGUUAUUUAAAUUUCUACUGUUUGAGAUUUCAUCUUUAUAAGGUAUGGUCUUGGUUGGGAUUCUAUCCUUUGUAACUUAAGUCCUUUACUUUGAUAUUUGAUCUGACCUCUUUGUUAAUUGAAGUAUCUUAUCAUAUUUUUUUCACCUGGAUUUUAGUUUUUCAGAUUUAGCACUUUUUGAGACCAUUUCAAUCUCUCUGCUAUAAGCCCUUUACUUUGAGGAGUGAUCAGAAGAUCUUUUUUAUUUGAAGUAUCUGAUAAUUUCAGAUAAUUUGUCAUUUGACUAAUAACUAUCCUAUAGGUUUGCAUGACACUGACCCAUAAUAGCUUCUUCAAAAAUAUCUUUAACUUGUGUGCUAGGGAUUGUGCUAUUUCUAACCAAUUGUUUGGAAGUAUGCCUAUGGCUUGUAGUUGCUUAUUAGUAUUGAUAGGAGCAAGUGAAUAGAUUGUUACAAGUGAUCCCCACUCCCAGGUUUUUGGCUUUU